CUCGCGAGCGAACGGGGCGAUAUUAUUUUGUCUGAGCUGGGUCUGGAGACACUGUGAAAAUGUUCGCUUUUGCAUGACCGGGGGAGUACAAUCAUGGAUCGAACGGCGGUGAUGCAGAUAUCAUCCUUUGUAAUCAAUGCAGAAAACCUACAAUUAGGCCGUGAAAAUAGGAUCGUAUCUCAAGAAUCACAACGUAACUCAGAAGCCAUUGAUGAUCUGAGGCAAGGCUAUGGAGAACUCGAUGUCAGAUUGAAAGAGUUGGAAGACGUCCAGGAAGAUGAAACCCAACAUUCUUUAAGAAAAAUGGUUACCAUGGAAAAGAACAUACAAAAUCUGGCUUGUGAAGUGGAGAAUAUGACAGAAAGGAUGAAAAGCUUGGAAAUGGAAAAUAGGAGUCUAAAACGUCAAUUAAAAUCGAAAAAACCCAAAAAUGCGAAGAAUAAUUGGACCACAAAGAAUGCCAACAAUGGUGACCGUUUGUCGUUUCCCAGAAGUAGACAAAUUGGACAGACUAUAGAAGAUGUGGAAAAAGUUGACCAGACAGUUAUAAACUCCAAACAGAUUCGACUUUUAAUAGAGGAUUGGAAUGUCAAUCAGAAAGAGAAAACAUACAUUGUAGUUGAUGAAAAGAUUACUCUGGAGGAAGUCUGCGGGGUGAUAAACAGUGUUGUUGGCGGAGAUCUAGACAUAUGCUGUAUCUUUAGGAAGCUGAGAGGACCAAUUUACCGCCACGAUUUAAAUCUAUUGAAACGAAUCAGAUAUUACCAUAUUACCAACGAUGAUGUGGUUCAUUAUAAGUGUAAGAACUACAACAAUGGCUAGACAUUUAACCGUUUGAAAUUGGGAACCACAAAGAGAUGGUACUGCUGCUUCUUUCGAGUUUAACAGACAUACAAAUUUCAUUUUAAAAACGGUUGUCAUUCACAUUUAUUUAAUUCAACCACAUUAAUAUUCAUGCUAUGACAUUCCAUAUAUUAUAGCCUAAAUUUAGAGAGGGUGGGGGGGCGGGUUAAAUAUAACAGAAAAUGACCAUCGACGUCAUAACCGGUUGGGCCUUUCAUUCUCUAGUUUUCUCACUCGGCAAACCUUGGCAGAUUCCGGUACCCUACAUCUAGCCUCGGCUGUAAUGACAGUAAGUGAUAUGUACCUACGCCUAUACAUUUGCGAUGCGGCACCGGUUUACUUAUAAGGGAAACUUGCACACGUUUAGAAAGAAGUUCUCAAAAUUGCGUCGUUCGAAGAGUGUGUAGAAUUUUCAGUGCUAAUUUGUCCUUGUCUAAAGAAAAUCGGAUAAACUUGAAAGAAAAACAGCUUCAAACUUUGAAAAUUUUGUAAGAUAAAACAUUCUUCAAAUACGUCGUCAUCAAUCACGUCAUUGGUCGUCAUGGACAACGCCAUUGUAAUCCGGGAACUUGAAAGUAGUUCUAAUGGCGGACUUUGUCAUACAGCCGAGAUUAGAUGUAGGGUACUGGAAUCUGUUGAGGUUUGCCGAGUGCUAGUUUUAUAUGUCGUCACCCUGUCCAUCGGUCCGUCAACAAUUGGCUCGUAAACGCUAUAGUGUCUUCUGUUUAUGAUGGUUAUAAUUCAAGUUUGGUGUGAAGCGUCGUGGUCAUGUGAGGGCGAACCCUAUCGAUAUUCAACCUGUUUUACAAGAGUUACCCCUCCCCCAACUUUCUUUGCUCAAAACCGCAUAAAUGCGAUAGAGGCUACAGUGUUUAACCGAUUUUUUUUAGUUUCAUUUGAAAAUUGGUGUCAUAAGCGGACAAACCCUGUCGAUAUUCAUCGUUUUACGACAUUCCAUCUGGUAUUAACUCCUUGUGAAAUACCUUGUGAACGAAAUGGUUGUCUUUCUGCCAGACUAAUCUUGGUCUUUUAUAUCAACUGAUAUUUCUUAAUAAUUAAAUUUCGCGAUUGGUUAAUUAUACCCGAUGAGUGACAUGCAGUAGGCCUAUACUCGAAGACUGGCCCUGCCUCAUUAUCAUACUGGUGAAGGUUUCAUUAUUAUUUUUUUAAAAUAUAUAUAUAUAUCUUUUUUAUCAAAUGGUGGAGAGGAGUAUAUGUAUAAUGUAAGAAAGAGAGAGAAAUGGGGUUUAAUGUCCACUCGACACAAACUGGUUCAUUUCGGGACUAACAUAUGGUUUAAUUUUAUUUCAAUAAUUCGCUUGCGGGUAGGGGGUCUUUAGCAGUGGGAGGAAACUGGAGGACCCGGAGAAAACCCACGAGGUUGGACAGGCGACCCUACUUGUCACGUACAACCGGGGAUUCGAAACCACGCCAGUUGACUCAAUGACAGAUUUUAUGAUACAGCGCGCGCACGUACUAACCAUUCGGCCAUCCACCCCCCUAUAAUGUAAGAAAUAGUGUGAAUGAUUAAAACCACACAAUAACCAAUAUUUAUAGUUUAAUAUAGUAUUUUUUUAAUUUACAGCAAGUUAUAUCAUACAUAGAUUAACAUAACAUGUAUUCGUAGAGAGAGACAGAGGGAGAAAUUGGGUUUAACAUCCACUUGACACAAACUAGGUCAUUUCGGGACUAACAUAUGGUUCAAUUUUAUUUCAAUAAUUCGCUUGCGGGUAGGGGGUCUUUAGCAGUGGGAGGAAACUGGAAGACCCGGAGAAAGCCCACGAGGUUGGACAGGCGACCGGGGAUUUGAAACCACGCCAGUUCGCACAGUUGACUCAAUGACAGGCCUUAUGAUACAGUAUGCACGUGCUAACCACUCGGCCAUCCAACCACCAUUUAUUCGUAACUUUGUUUUAUAUCUUGUACUUUCUUAAAGAUUUCCGACGUGGUUUCCCCUUGUCAGUGGUGCAGAACGGAGGGUCUGACAAGGACAGCUGUCUAGUCCUUCGGAUGAGACGAAACACAGAGGUCCCGUGUAUAUAUUGGAAUGCACGUAAAAGAUCCCCUGGCAGUUGGAAUUCGAUAUAAGAGUAGGUCAUAGUGCCACUGUCCAGGCAAAAUUUCCCUCAUAGCACAUUGUAUGGCGUAUGCCCGUCUUCAUUAGCCCAGUAUAGGAGCAGAACAGUAGGACGUUAAACCCCAUUUUAUUUCAUUUUUCUUAAAGAUGUAUUAUGUAAGAGUUAUAUCUGUCUAUUGCAGAUCGAGGUGUUGGAUGGCCGAGUGGUUAGCGCGUGCAUGUUGUAUCUUAAGGUCUGUCAUUGAGCCAAAUGGCGUGGUUUCAAUUCCUCUGCUGAAGAUCCCUGUGUGCAAGCGAAUUAUUAAAAAUAAAAAUGAACCAUAUGUUAGUCACGAAAUGACCUAGUUUGUGUUGUGUGGACCUUAAACCCCAUUUCUCUCUGUAUUUUAAUCAGGUUGGCUAUAUCCCUAAUAUUAUGUUAUGAUGUAUAAUAUAUCUAUCUAUUUGAUUAAAGGAGCUAAAUCGCUAAUAUUUUGGACCUAGAAAUUGGCACAAAUGGGUCGCAACACAUAUAAUAAUGUAAUAUGAAUUUAUAUAAACUGUUUUACAUUCAA